UGCCUAUGAUGACAAACCAAAGGCUUGUUUCUCAAAACAUUCGCAGUGGCCGCCUGAGAGCUUUCGCCUUACCGGGCUUGAGAGCUUUUGCUGCUUACAAAUUUCCUUCCUUGGAUGUCUGAGGCU